rnacentral:rRNA from 1 species
UAGGGAAUCUUCGGCAAUGGACGAAAGUCUGACCGAGCAACGCCGCGUGAGUGAAGAAGGUUUUCGGAUCGUAAAACUCUGUUGUUAGAGAAGAACAAGGACGUUAGUAACUGAACGUCCCCUGACGGUAUCUAACCAGAAAGCCACGGCUAACUACGUGCCAGCAGCCGCGGUAAUACGUAGGUGGCAAGCGUUGUCCGGAUUUAUUGGGCGUAAAGCGAGCGCAGGCGGUUUCUUAAGUCUGAUGUGAAAGCCCCCGGCUCAACCGGGGAGGGUCAGUGGAAACUGGGAGACUUGAGUGCAGAAGAGGAGAGUGGAAUUCGAUGUGUAGCGGUGAAAUGCGUAGAUAUAUGGAGGAACACCAGUGGCGAAGGCGGCUCUCUGGUCUGUAACUGACGCUGAGGCUCGAAAGCGUGGGGAGCAAACAGG